AAAAUAGUUUUCAAGAAAAAAGAUAAUGUCUGAUUUAAAGUGAAUUCUUCCCAUUUGCACCAGUUCUUGCAGAAAAACAAUAUUAAUGGGCCUCCCUCACUCAUUUCUUGCUCCACCAAUGCUGCUGCUGGCAGAGCUUUGCCAGCUCCACCUUUCCAGAUCAUUCUAACAGGCACAAAAGUCUAAUUGUUUCUCAGUGUCUUGGGGUCAUUCUCGGACAGGAGUUUCCUGCAUUAAGCUCCCUCUUUGGAUUACUGUGCUGCUUGGUCAAACCAGGGCAGAGCCAUCAGCACUAAAUCUAUCUACAUUAGGAAUGACAGAAGCAGAAUGAAUGGAAUCCAGUUCGACCAAUUGAUAGUGGAAGAGGAAGCGAGACCCGAUGAGAGGCUCUGAAAAGAAGCAAUUAUCUGACAAGUCAACCACUGGUGGAGCCGCGGGCACACGUCUCCAUUGUGUGUCAAACCAAAGGCAGCUUGUUAAACACUGGGAGACACAAAUGCAUCAGUUGAGGCAGUUAACAAGCUCUUAAUUGAUCAGCUUAAUCUCUGGCCCUAAUUAUCACAUUCUCAGAGGGAAGAGCUAAGAUGGUUGCUAGUGGCUUUAAUUGACCUUUUCAAUUCAAUAGUUUACCUUCCAAGUACAGAAUUUUACAUAUCUAUGGCUGCAGGUGGGUGGAUGGGCCUUUUCUCACAAAUGACAGCGCCAACAAAGGGGAAACAUAAAAUGUUGUGUUUAAAAAAGAAAAAAAGAUUUACAAUCCUUUCUUCCACAUUAUAAUCACAUUUGUCAAUGAAUUGUAAAACAAAUAAAUAAAUAACCAAUCUAUA